UAUAUAUAUAUUUUUUUUUGUAUGCUUUUCAAUGUUUGUAAUUGUAUUCGUUUAAAAAUUUCACUUUCUUGUUCUUAUUUCAAACAACUUAAUAAUCUCAUUAAUGCAUAAUUUAAUUAUAGUUAAGUUUCUUUUUGUUGUUGUUGUUGUUGUUAAUUCGUAUUCAGUAAGUGUAAAGAUAUAUAUAGAACUAAUUUGUUUUCCAUACAUAUAAUAAAAACUAGCAUCUUAAAAUAUAAUUUACAAAUAGUGAAACAAAUGAACAAACAAAAUAUAAAAAAAAAAAAAUUAAAUUAAAACAUAUUUGUUUAUACAUUUUUUUCUUAGACGCUUUCGCUUCUACAUCCAACGCUUAACGCAUUCACAUUUUUUGUCAUACUUAAUUUUAGAUAUUUUAAAUUCUUAUUUUAUGUUUAAUUUUUAAUGUUUUUAUGUGUGUAAUAGUAUUUGUAAUAUCUCGUUACGUUUUUAAUUAUUUAUGCAAAUAUUUGCACGACUGCUUUGGUUACAACUCUGCAAAUGUUUUCUUUUCGAUUUCAAUUCAUUUUUUUAUUUUUUAUUUGAAUGUGUUUUAGUAUUAGGGUUGUUAUGUUUAUGUUUUAACUUUACCUUUAGGUCCACUGUCAGUUUCUUUUGUGGUUCGUGCAUUAACUGCUCUACUCAAUUAGCUGCUCUGGCUCUGCACUACGUUUAUUUUUAAACUAUUUUUUGUACUCAAAAAGGAAAUAAA